UUCAGUGGCCAUGAUAGUAUCGGUAAGAUUUUGUUCAUUCCAAAUUCAUCUUUUAUCUGUGUGCUGUCUUUGAUUAUCAGGCUUUAAUUGUUGUGUCAUAGAUUAAGAUGGUUGUCCCUCAUUAAUAAUAUGCUUUCCUCUUUCCUCAUUUUAGCAAACUACUUCGUGCUGGAUUAUUGAUGUGUAGUCAAGGACUGAAGUAUGUUUUAUGCUGUUGUUUUUUUUAUUUAUUUGACUUCCUGCCAUAAAAAUGCUUUGCAUAAAAUAAAUAAAUAUGAUGGAGUUUUUUAUAGGCCACUGUUCUGUAAUACAUGGUACUGAAAUGUAUAUUUUAUUGUUGUGGAUAUCAAGGAAACAAAUAACUAGGUUGGAUGGGCAGACUUUUUCAUUUAGUUCAUGUAGUCUAAAUGAUUAUGUGGAAUCUUUUAGAAGAUUUUAGGAACUUAUAUUUUCCAACCGAGGAAUUGCCACACGUGGUGAAGUUGUUGAAGCGGGACUGAUGCUGCUUUGCAUGCAUUGUUUGUGUGACAAGGGUGGUUAUCAAAGGCUGUUCUGUUGAUGUUCAAUAAUAUCAGCACUCAUUACUGAUUAAGGGAUGCAUGCUGGCAAUGUUAAAUAAAUUAGUUGUAGAAGAGUUUCAACUAUGCUGAUUUGGGGUUAUCUAUUGUAGUUUUAAAUGUUGUGAUAGAGCAGCAAUUUGUUUUUCUACCUUGAGUUAGUAUGAAACUUUGAUGUGUUGUGAUACUUUUUACUCUGUCCGUUCUGCUAUUUUGGGUUAUAGGUGCUAGCAUUGGCGGACAGAAU
rnacentral:misc_RNA from 1 species